CGUACAGGCGGCCAUGUAAGUCGGGUGUGAAAUCCCCGGGCUUAACCCGGGAUCUGCAUUCGAUACUGCUUGGCUUGAGAUCAGGAGAGGAGAGUGGAAUAUGUGGUGUAGCGGUGAAAUGCGUAGAUAUCACAUAGAACACCGGUGGCGAAGGCGGCUCUCUGGCCUGAUUCUGACGCUGACGCGCGAAAGCUAGGGUAGCGAACG
rnacentral:rRNA from 1 species